rnacentral:rRNA from 1 species
CCUACGGGUGGCUGCAGUGGGGAAUAUUGCACAAUGGGGGAAACCCUGAUGCAGCGACGCCGCGUGAAGGAUGAAGUAUUUCGGGAUGUAAACUUCUAUCAGCAGGGAAGAAAAGGACGGUACCUGACGAAGAAGACACGGCUAACGACGUGCCAGCAGCCGCGGUAAUACGUAGGGGGCAAGCGUUAGCCGGAUUUACUGGGUGUAAAGGGAGCGUAGCCGGUCUGGCAAGUCGGAUGUGAAAACCCGGGGCUCAACCCCGGGACGGCAUUGGAAACUGCCGAACUAGAGUGUCGGAGAGGCAAGUGGAAUUCCUUGUGUAGCGGUGAAAUGCGUAGAUAUUAGGCGGAACCCCAGUGGCGACGGCGGCUUGCUGGUCGAUGACUGACGUUGCGGCUCGCACGCGUGG